AUGUGGAGCGGGGGAAAGUCGGUGGAGGAGAAGAGGGAGGGGGCGGCGGGCAGGGCCAGCUCCUCGGACUGCGGCAGGAACGGGUCGUGGUGGUCCAGGAGAGCGGCGCUGCCUGGGGUGGGGACAGGGAGGUGCCAGGGGACAGCUCAGUGCCCAGGGGACAGCUCUGUGCCCCGAGUGUGCCCAGGGGACAGCUCAGUGCCCAGAGUGUGCCCAGGGGACAGCUCAGUGCCCAGAGGACACCUCAGUGCUCAGGGGACACCUCUGUCCCCACCACCCCAGCCCCCACACUCACCGGGGCUCAGCUGGAAACUCUCCUCGAAGGUUUCCAUGUUCGGCAUCAGCUCCGCCAGUUCCAGCGUCUCCAGAGUCCCCGAGCCCAGGUCCGGCCCCUCCAGCGACUGCAGCAGCUCCUGCAUGUCCUGGCUGCCCGGCAGCAGCUCCAGGUCCCUCAGCUCCGGUGGCAGUGUCCCCUGCUCCUCGGGGAGCCGCGGUGGCUCCGCAGCCCCCGGCACCGGCUGCAGCGUCCCCGUGUCCACAGCCACUGUCCCCUGCUCCCCCCGCAGCAGCUGCAGGCUCCCCACGCCCCCUGAGCCCACCUGCAGCAUCCCCA
rnacentral:lncRNA from 1 species